rnacentral:rRNA from 1 species
UGGAGGCAGCAGUGGGGAAUUGUUCGCAAUGGGCGCAAGCCUGACGACGCAAUGCCGCGUGGAGGACGAAGAUUUUCGGAUCGUAAACUCCUGUCGAGCGGGACGAACGGCCUGGGGGUUAACACCCUCUGGGAGUGACGGUACCGCUAAAGGAAGCCCCGGCUAACUCCGUGCCAGCAGCCGCGGUAAUACGGGGGGGGCAAGCGUUGUUCGGAAUUACUGGGCGUAAAGGGCGCGUAGGCGGCCUUCUAAGUCAGACGUGAAAUCCCUCGGCUCAACCGGGGAACUGCGUCUGAUACUGGAGGGCUUGGAUCCGGGAGAGGGAUGCGGAAUUCCAGGUGUAGCGGUGAAAUGCGUAGAUAUCUGGAGGAACACCGGUGGCGAAGGCGGCAUCCUGGACCGGCAUCGACGCUGAGGCGCGAAAGCCAGGGGAGCAAACGGGAUUAGAUACCCCGGU